CAGUCGCCACGGUAAUACGUAGGUGGCAAGCGUUGUCCGGAAUUAUUGGGCGUAAAGGGCUCGCAGGCGGUUUCUUAAGUCUGAUGUGAAAGCCCCCGGCUCAACCGGGGAGGGUCAUUGGAAACUGGGAAACUUGAGUGCAGAAGAGGAGAGUGGAAUUCCGCGUGUAGCGGUGAAAUGCGUAGAGAUGUGGAGGAACACCAGUGGCGAAGGCGACUCUCUGGUCUGUAACUGACGCUGAGGAGCGAAAGCGUGGGGAGCGAACAGGAUUAGAUACCCCCGUAGUCCCUGUCUCUUAUAC
rnacentral:rRNA from 1 species